rnacentral:tRNA from 1 species
GCGCCCGUAGCUCAGGUGGACAGAGCAUCGGAUUUCUAAUCCGACGGUCGGGGGUUCGAAUCCCUCCGGGCGCG